rnacentral:rRNA from 1 species
UACGGGGGGGGCAAGCGUUGUCCGGAAUUAUUGGGCGUAAAGAGCUCGUAGGCGGUCUGUUACGUCGGCUGUGAAAACCUGGGGCUCAACCCCGGGCCUGCAACCGAUACGGGCAGACUAGAAUUCGGUAGGGGAGACUGGAAUUCCUGGUGUAGCGGUGGAAUGCGCAGAGUAUCAGGAGGAACACCAAUUGCGAAGGCAGCUCGCUGGGACGUUACUGACGCUGAGACGCGAAGCGUGGGGAGCAAACAGG